rnacentral:hammerhead_ribozyme from 1 species
GUACUGCUGACGAGUCCCAAACAGGACGAAACAGUUGUCCAGUGC